rnacentral:tRNA from 1 species
CAAGGAAUAGUUUAACUAGAAUGUCAGCUUUGGGUGUUGAUGGUGGGGUUAUGGCCUCUUCCUUGA